UACAGAGGGUGCGAGCGUUGUCCGGAAUCACUGGGCGUAAAGGGCGCGUAGGUGGUGGCUUAAGCGUGCGGUGAAAGCUCGGGGCUCAACUCCGAGUCGGCCGUGCGAACUGGGCUCACUGGAGCAUAGUAGAGGCAGGUGGAAUUCCGGGUGUAGCGGUGGAAUGCGUAGAGAUCCGGAAGAACACCGGUGGCGAAGGCGGCCUGCUGGGCUAUGGCUGACACUGAGGCGCGACAGCGUGGGAGCAAACAGG
rnacentral:rRNA from 1 species